AACGAACGCUGGCGGCGCGCCUAAUACAUGCAAGUCGAGCGAGAAGGUGUAGCAAUACACUUGUAAAGCGGCGAACGGGUGAGGAAUACAUGGGUAAUCUACCAUCGAGUGGGGAAUAACCAACCGAAAGGUUGGCUAAUACCGCGUACGCCUCCGGAUCUUCGGGUUCGGAGGGAAAGCUGCACUGUGAGUGUAGCGCUCUUUGAUGAGCUCAUGUCCUAUCAGCUUGUUGGUAGGGUAACGGCCUACCAAGGCUUUGACGGGUAGCUGGUCUGAGAGGACGAUCAGCCACACUGGCACUGCGACACGGGCCAGACUCCUACGGGAGGCAGCAGUAAGGAAUAUUGCGCAAUGGGCGAAAGCCUGACGCAGCGACGCCGCGUGGGGGAUGAAGGUCUUCGGAUUGUAAACCCCUUUCGGGAGGGAAGAUGGAACGAGCAAUCGUUCGGACGGUACCUCCAGAAGCAGCCACGGCCAACUUCGUGCCAGCAG
rnacentral:rRNA from 1 species